UCUCUCUUCUAGUAUUCAAAUCCUAUUCUGAUUAUGAUUUCGAUUCCAUUCAUGAACCAAAUGUGUCAGGGAAUAUAGCUUAAGAAUUUAUACAUGACUCGUAGAGGGCCUUGGCUGGGCAUGGUCUUAUGGCAAUAGAGCUGAAAGAGCAUAUGAUCAAAUUUGAUGGGAGUUCUUGGUCUCCGCCAUAAGGUUGUUUAGGUUCCAUGAGACCAUUAGAUUACUAGGAUG
rnacentral:lncRNA from 1 species